AAACCAACAGGGAUUGCCCUAGUAACGGCGAGUGAAGCGGCAACAGCUCAAAUUUGAAAUCUGGCCUCGGCCCGAGUUGUAAUUUGCAGAGGAUGCUUCUGGCGCGGUGCCUUCCGAGUUCCCUGGAACGGGACGCCACAGAGGGUGAGAGCCCCGUAUGGUCGGACACCAAGCCUGUGUGAAGCUCCUUCGACGAGUCGAGUAGUUUGGGAAUGCUGCUCUAAAUGGGAGGUAAAUCUCUUCUAAAGCUAAAUACCGGCCAGAGACCGAUAGCGCACAAGUAGAGUGAUCGAAAGAUGAAAAGCACCUUGAAAAGGGGGUUAAAUAGUACGUGAAAUUGUUGAAAGGGAAGCGCUUGUGACCAGACUUGCGCCGGGCGGCUCAUCAGGGGUUCUCCCCUGUGCACUCCGCCCGGCUCAGGCCAGCAUCGGUUCUCGUGGGGGGAUAAGACCGCCGGGAACGUAGCACCCUCCGGGGUGUGUUAUAGCCCGGCGGACGAUACCCUCGUGGGGACCGAGGUUCGCGCUCCGCAAGGAUGCUGGCGUAAUGGUCAUCAGCGAC
rnacentral:rRNA from 1 species